rnacentral:rRNA from 1 species
AGAGUUUGAUCCUGGCUCAGAGUGAACGCUGGCGGCGUGGAUUAGGCAUGCAAGUCGAGCGAUGGUGAGUGAAGCGAAGCCCGUAAGGGCUGAGUGAAUCGAACCAUAGCGGCAGACUGGUGAGGAACACGUGAGUAAUCUACCUCCAAGUCGGGCAUAGCCUUGCGAAAGCGAGGGUAAUUCCCGAUGUGUCCCUUGACACAAAGGUGUCAAGGAGUAAAGGUGGGGACCCGUAAGGGCCUACUGCUUAGAGUUGAGCUCGCGUCCUAUCAGCUAGUUGGUAGGGUAAUGGCCUACCAAGGCUAUUGACGGGUAGCUGGCCUGAGAGGGUGGUCAGCCACAUGGGGACUGAGACACUGCCCCAACUCCUACGGGAGGCUGCAGUCGAGGAUCUUUAGCAAUGGGCGCAAGCCUGACUAUGCGACGCCGCGUGAGGGAUGAAGGUUUUCGGAUCGUAAACCUCUUUCGAUGGGAAAGAAAUUCUUGAUACUAAUAAUGUCAAGAACUGACGGUACCUAGAGAAGAAGCCACGGCCAACUCCGUGCCAGCAGCCGCGGUAAUACGGGGGUGGCAAGCGUUACUCGGAUUUAUUGGGUGUAAAGGGCAGGUAGGCGAUUUGUUAAGUUAGAAGUGAAAUCCUUUGGCUCAACCAAAGAACUGCUUCUAAAACUGACUUAAUUGAGGCUAAAAGAGGAGAGCGGAAUUCCCGGUGUAAGAGUGAAAUCUGUAGAUAUCGGGAGGAACACCGGUAGCGAAGGCGGCUCUCUGGAACAGUACUGACACUGAGGCGCGAAAGCUAGGGGAGCGAACAGGAUUAGAUACCCUGGUAGUCC